ACUCCCUGGAAACAACAUAUGAUCAGUGUCCACCUCACAGUCCAGUCACUAAAAGCACUGCUUCUAAUCAUGGAAUGGAGCUGGAUACUUCCUUUUAUUCUGUCUGUAACUGCAGGUGUCUACUCACAGGUCCAACUGCAACAGUCUGGGGCUGAUCUGGCAAGACCUGGAGCUUCAGUGAAGAUGUCCUGCAAGGCUUCUGGAUACACCUUUACUGGCUACAGUAUGCACUGGGUAAAACAGAGGCCUGAAAAGAGUCUGGAAUGGAUUGGAAGUAUUCAUCCUGGAAAUGGUGGUACUAGCUACAAUCAGAAGUUCAAUGGCAAGGCCACACUGACUGCUGAGAAAUCUUCCAACACAGCCUACAUGGAACUCAGCAGCCUAAUUUCUGAUGAUUCUGCCAUCUAUUACUGUACAAGACACAGUGCUGUGACCACAUCCUGA